rnacentral:rRNA from 1 species
UACAGAGGUCCCAAGCGUUGUUCGGAUUCACUGGGCGUAAAGGGUGCGCAGGUGGGCUGGUAAGUUUGAUGUGAAAGCCCCGGGCUUAACCCGGGAAUGGCAUUGAAUACUGCUGGUCUGGAGGGUUGGAGGGGGGACUGGAAUUCUUGGUGUAGCAGUGAAAUGCGUAGAUAUCAAGAGGAACACCAGUGGCGAAGGCGAGUCCCUGGACAAUACCUGACACUGAGGCACGAAAGCUAGGGGAGCAAACAGG